CCCCUCUCUCUCCCGCUUUCUCUCUCGUCUCUACCAAGUGAGGGAACAGCAAGAAGACAGCCAUCUGCAAAGAAGAGGGCUGUCACCAGACACUAGCUCUGCUGGCAUCUUGGACUUCCCAGCCUCCAGAAUGGAAACCUGUGCCCCAGCACCUGUCUGCUUCUGUCAUGGGGUUGUACUCCAGGAACCAUCGUGCACCUGGCAGCCCUCUCACCCUGCAGGCAGCGAGCCCGGGGAGCCAUAAAGAACUUCUUUUAGAAUGGAUUCACUGACUGAAAUCACGCUUUGGGUGAAGAAAUGGAAGCUCAGAGAAGUUGUGGUGCCUGUUCAAGAUCACUCAGCUG
rnacentral:lncRNA from 1 species